GUGGGGAAUAUUGCGCAAUGGGCGAAAGCCUGACGCAGCGACGCCGCGUGUGGGAUGAAGGUCUUCGGAUUGUAAACCACUGUCGGGAGGGACGAAGCUCUGACGGUACCUCCAAAGGAAGCACCGGCUAACUCUGUGCCAGCAGCCGCGGUAAUACAGAGGGUGCGAGCGUUGUCCGGAAUCACUGGGCGUAAAGGGCGCGUAGGCGGCUUGAUAAGUAGGGGGUGAAAUCUCAUGGCUCAACUGUGAGGCUGCCUUCUAGACUGUCUGGCUUGAGCACAGUAGAGGCGAGUGGAAUUCCCGGUGUAGCGGUGGAAUGCGUAGAGAUCGGGAAGAACAUCGGUGGCGAAGGCGGCUCGCUGGGCUGUUGCUGACGCUGAUGCGCGAAAGCGUGGGGAGCAAACAGGAUUAGAAACCCUUGUAGUCC
rnacentral:rRNA from 1 species